rnacentral:rRNA from 1 species
GACAGAGGGUGCAAACGUUGUUCGGAUUUACUGGGCGUAAAGCGCGUGUAGGCGGCUUUCUAAGUCGGGGGUGAAAUCCUGGAGCUCAACUCCAGAACUGCCUUCGAUACUGGAGAGCUUGAGUCCGGGAGAGGUGAGUGGAACUGCGAGUGUAGAGGUGAAAUUCGUAGAUAUUCGCAAGAACACCAGUGGCGAAGGCGGCUCACUGGCCCGGUACUGACGCUGAGGUGCGAAAGCGUGGGGAGCAAACAGG